rnacentral:ncRNA from 1 species
AAGACGAGAAGACCCUGUGGAACUUCAAAAUCAACAGCCACACCUCACAACCCACAAACCUACCAGGCCCACCACCCAACAUCCUCACUGGCCUGUAUUUUUUGGCUGGGACGGCCCCGGAGAAAAGCAGAUCCUCCAGAAAGACGACCCGACCUCUUGACCAAGAGCAACCUCUCAACGUGCUAACAGCCCCCAGAUCCAGUAUAACUGAACAAUGAACCAAGCUACCCCAGGGAUAACAGUGCAAUCCCCUUCAAGAGCCCACAUCGACAAGGGGGUUUACGAUCUCGAUGGUGGAUCAGGACCCCCUAAUGGUGCAGUCGCUAACAAGGGUUCGUUUGUUCAAUGAUUAACAGUCCCACGUGAUCCGAGUUCACACCAGAGCAAUCCAGGUCAGUUUCUAUCU